rnacentral:rRNA from 1 species
AUUGAACGCUGGCGGCAGGCCUAACACAUGCAAGUCGAGCGGAGCGGCGGACGGGUGAGUAAUGUAUGGGAAACUGCAUGAUGGCGGGGGAUAACUACUGGAAACGGGGGCUAAUACCGCAUACUAUCAGAUGAGCCGAGGUCGGAUUAGCUAGUUGGUGGGGUAAUGGCCUACCUAGGCGACGAUCCGUAACUGGUCUGAGAGGAUGAUCAGUCACACUGGGACUGAGACACGGCCCAGACUCCUACGGGAGGCAGCAGUGGGGAAUAUUGGACAAUGGGCGAAAGCCUGAUCCAGCCAUGCCGCGUGUGUGAAGAAGGUCUUCGGAUUGUAAAGCACUUUAAGUUGGGAGGCGUUACCAACAGAAUAAGCACCGGCUAACUACGUGCCAGCAGCCGCGGUAAUAC